UACGAAGGGGGCUAGCGUUGCUCGGAAUCACUGGGCGUAAAGGGCGCGUAGGCGGCCAUUCAAGUCAGAGGUGAAAGCCCAAGGCUCAACCUUGGAACUGCCUUUGAUACUGUUUGGCUGAGACCGGUAGAGGUAAGUGGAACUGCGAGUGUAGAGGUGAAAUUCGUAGAUAUUCGCAAGAACACCAGUGGCGAAGGCGGCUUACUGGACCGGUUCUGACGCUGAGGCGCGAAAGCGUGGGGAGCAAACAGG
rnacentral:rRNA from 1 species